rnacentral:misc_RNA from 1 species
GAUGAAGAACGUAGCGAAAUGCGAUAAGUAGUGUGAAUUGCAGAAUUCAGUGAAUCAUCGAAUCUUUGAACGCACAUUGCGCCCUUUGGUAUUCCAAAGGGCAUGCCUGUUCGAGCGUCAUUUGUACCCUCAAGCUUUGCUUGGUGUUGGGCGUCUUGUCUCUAGCUUUGCUGGAGACUCGCCUUAAAGUAAUUGGCAGCCGGCCUACUGGUUUCGGAGCGCAGCACAAGUCGCACUCUCUAUCAGCAAAGGUCUAGCAUCCAUUAAGCCUUUUUUUCAACUUUUGACCUCGGAUCAGGUAGGGAUACCCGCUGAACUUAAGCAUAUAAUAAGCGGAGGA